AUAAGUAUCAGAGAGCUUUAAUUUGCUGUAGGGUUCAUACCCCUACCUAUAGUCUUUGAUAAAGGUUUAUUUUUA
rnacentral:tRNA from 1 species